rnacentral:rRNA from 1 species
GACGAACGCUGGCGGCGUGCUUAACACAUGCAAGUCGAACGGAAAGGCCCUGCUUUUGUGGGGUGCUCGAGUGGCGAACGGGUGAGUAACACGUGAGUAACCUGCCCUUGACUUUGGGAUAACUUCAGGAAACUGGGGCUAAUACCGGAUAGGAGCUCCUGCUGCAUGGUGGGGGUUGGAAAGUUUCGGCGGUUGGGGAUGGACUCGCGGCUUAUCAGCUUGUUGGUGGGGUAGUGGCUUACCAAGGCUUUGACGGGUAGCCGGCCUGAGAGGGUGACCGGCCACAUUGGGACUGAGAUACGGCCCAGACUCCUACAGGAGGCAGCAGUGGGGAAUAUUGCACAAUGGGCGGAAGCCUGAUGCAGCAACGCCGCGUGCGGGAUGACGGCCUUCAGGUUGUAAACCGCUUUCGCCUGUGACGAAGCGUGAGUGACGGUAAUGGGUAAAGAAGCACCGGCUAACUACGUG